rnacentral:lncRNA from 1 species
CUAUGUCCAAACUCCAUUGUGUUGUAUGACUAAAUAAUAUUUCCAUUAGAGCUGUCAAAACGAGUUGAUUCAUCCCGUUAAGCCUGUUUUGCAAUAGGCAAAAUAUAUUUUGGCAUGUAGUUAGUCUGUCCGCACGACCCGCGGGUAGCAUAUAUGAAACACAAACCCGUCGCGCGAAUGUAUGCUGAUUUGCGGGGUUAUCCGUGGAUUUUGUUUAAAUAAUUUUAGAGUAACCAAAAUUUAAAGAAAUAAAUAAAUUAGAAAAAAUUUAGAGAUUAUAAUCUUAUAUAUCAUUAUAUUUAUAAAUAUUAUAAUUUUGUUUAUUAAAAGUUUUUUAAACUACCACAUGUUGAAUAAAUUAUAUUUUUAUCAAUAAAUACUAUCAUGCGGGUUGAUCCGCC